CUUCACCGAGCCCAACAACAACGGCCGAGACCGACCCUGUCCGUAGGUGGUCAGCAGGGCAUGGGCCUC
rnacentral:antisense_RNA from 1 species